GAUGACUUGUGGAUAGGAGUGAAAGGCUAAUCAAGCUCGGAGAUAGCUGGUUCUCCUCGAAAGCUAUUUAGGUAGCGCCUCGUAUCUCACCAUUGGGGGUAGAGCACUGUUUGGGCUAGGGGGUCAUCCCGACUUACCAACCCCAUGCAAACUCCGAAUACCAAUGAGUGCAAUUACGGGAGACACACAGCGGGUGCUAACGUCCGUUGUGGAAAGGGAAACAACCCAGACCGUCAGCUAAGGUCCCAAAGUUACAGUUAAGUGGGAAACGAUGUGGGAAGGCUUAGACAGCUAGGAGGUUGGCUUAGAAGCAGCCAUCCUUUAAAGAAAGCGUAAUAGCUCACUAGUCGAGUCGGCCUGCGCGGAAGAUAUAACGGGGCUCAAACUGUACACCGAAGCUACGGAUGCAUAAUUUAUUAUGCAUGGUAGAGGAGCGUUCUGUAAGCCGUUGAAGGUCAAGCUGUAAGGCAGGCUGGAGGUAUCAGAAGUGCGAAUGUUGACAUGAGUAACGAUAAGGGGAGUGAAAAACUCCCCCGCCGGAAGACCAAGGUUUCCUGUCCCAUGCUAAUCAGGGCAGGGUGAGUCGGCCCCUA
rnacentral:rRNA from 1 species